GGGCGAAUGGUUUAGUGGUAUAAUACUCCCUUAGCAUGGUUUAUCCGAAUAGUCUGGGAGUGGUCCAGGGUUCGAUUCCCUGUUCGUCCA
rfam:Fusarium langsethiae strain Fl201059 Fl201059_contig487, whole genome shotgun sequence.